ACCCAAGCACCUCCCGGUGCCCUGGGGACCCGGCUCCUCCGGGAAGCAGCUCCGAGCAUCGUGGCGGCUGUUGGCCAUAAAUGUCCCUCCUUUAAAAAAAGAUGUUUAGCCUUAUUUUUUUAGCUUUGAAGGUUUUUCAAGGGGCUUUAUGUCCCACCCCAUGCAGCCUCGGUCCCGUGAGGGUCUUGGUUGUAGAUAAAUGAGGUGGUGAGGGUCUCGGUUGUAGAGCUGACCUCAAAAUGGGUUGGUUGGAGCCCAACGAGGUCUUCAUCCCCCAGAGGUGUGAGCAGUAUUGGGACCUGUCGCCAGCAUCACCCGGGUGCCAAAUAGGAUAAAUCUGGUGGGUUUUUCCCAUCAGGGACCUUCCCCCAAAGGCCCCCGUUCCCUGGCGGAGGGGACACCCAAGGGUGACCCCAAGGGAGAGGAGCACUCACGAUCAAAUCACGCUAAUGAUUAAAUCACGAUCACGAUUAAAUCACGACCAAACUACGGGCAAAACCUUUGCAAUCUGCCCUUGGGUUUCCUCCUCCACCACAGAGCCGUCCCCGGGGCCCCACAAAGGUUUGAGGUGGCACCGCAAGGCCCCCCCCCCAGAACCCAGCAGACCUCACCCCACCCUCACCAUAAAACCACAACCCCCCCGAGCCCGGCCACAUCUCCUGCCCCCAGCCACCACCACGAUUUUUUUUUAAUUAUCAUUGUUUAAUGGAAACAGCAAACCAAGGAGGCUGCAUCUGACCGCGAGACGUGCAUCAGAGGAGAUGCGGCACGCGACAAAGCCCACGGACGUUUUCUCCUCAUUUUCUGCAUGGGGGAGUGAGAGAAAAGAGGUUUUUGGCCAGAAAAUACACUUGCUCCAAGGUGGUCCUCCUUGGGGUGGAAAGUGGAGGUCUGCUCCUGUCUGGUCCUUCUUGGUCUGGAGCACGGGUAUCAGCUCCAACACAGUCCUCCUCGCGUUGCUGAGUUGGAGAGUGGAUAUCUGCUCCAACGUGGUCCUCCAUGGGUUGCAAAGGGGAGAUCUGCUCCUAUCUGGUCCUUCUUGGGUUGCAGAGUGGAUAUCAGCUCCAAGGUGGUUCUCCUUGGGUCGCAGCACGGAUAUCUACUCCAUGGCGGUCCUUCUUGGGUUGCUAAAUGGAGAUCUGCUCCAAGGUGGUCUUCCUCGAGCUCCGCAUUUGCGUCCUGGUGGCUUUUCCCCAGAAAGCCGAGUAUGGCCGAGUGGGAUAAAAACAGGGAAAAUGGGGAAAAGAGGGGAAAGGAGAAGGGAAAGGGAGAAAGAGACAGGAGAGGGGGUGGGAGGACGUGGCCCUGUGCACCUCCCGGGGGGCCCCAUCCCCAUCCAGGUCCCCAUCAAUGUCCCUGUCAAUGUCCUUGUCGAUGCCCCCAUCCGUGUCCCUGUCCCUGUCCCCAUUCAUCUCCCCGUCCCCGUCCCCCUCCCUGUCCCCUUCCCCAUCCUUGUCCCUAUCCAUGUCCCCUUCCAUGUCCCCGUCCCCGUCCCUGUCCCCAUCCCCAUCAGCUUCGCAGCGCCGCCGACCCAAGCAGCUCCCUUUCUGCCGGGGCACCCAUGGGUGGGGAGCGCCCUCCUGUGGCACCCGUGGGUGAGCAGCACCACCCAACACCCAUGGGUGGUGGGGA
rnacentral:lncRNA from 1 species